UACGGAGGGGGCGAGCGUUGUUCGGAGUGACUGGGCGUAAAGAGCACGUAGGCGGUGUUGUAAGUCAGAUGUGAAAUCCUAUGGCUUAACCAUAGAACUGCAUUUGAAACUGUUAUUCUAGAGUAUGGGAGAGGUAGGUGGAAUUCUUGGUGUAGGGGUAAAAUCCGUAGAGAUCAAGAGGAAUACUCAUUGCGAAGGCGACCUGCUAGAACAUAACUGACGCUGAUGCGCGAAAGCGUGGGGAGCAAACAGG
rnacentral:rRNA from 1 species